CCUGGUUGAUCCUGCCAGUAGUCAUAUGCUUGUCUCAAAGAUUAAGCCAUGCAUGUCCAAGUACAAGCCUCACUAAGGUGAAACCGCGAAUGGCUCAUUAAAUCACACCUAAUCUACUGGAUAGUUAACAGGUACUUGGAUACCUGCGGUAAUUCUGGAGCUAAUACAUGCGAAAAGCCUCGAACUUACGUGAGAGGCGCUUUUAUUAGAUCAAAACCAAUCGGCUUCGGCUGUACUCUUGGUGACUCUGAAUAACUUUGGGCUGAUCGUAUAGCCUUGCGCUGACGACAUAUCCUUCGAAGGUGUGCCCUAUCAACUGUCGACUGUGGCAUAGACGCCCACAGUGGUUUUGACGGGUAACGGGGAAUCAGGGUUCGAUUCCGGAGAGGGAGCCUUAAAAACGGCUACCACAUCUAAGGAAGGCAGCAGGCACGCAAAUUACCCAAUGAUCGAAGAUCGAGGUAGUGACGAAAAAUAACGAUCCAGGACUCAUCCGAGGCCCUGGAAUCGGAAUGAGUACACUUUAAAACCGUCCCCGAGGAUCUAUUGGAGGGCAAGUCUGGUGCCAGCAGCCGCGGUAAUUCCAGCUCCAAUAGCGUAUAUUAAAGUUGUUGUGGUUAAAAAGCUCGUAGUUGGAUCUCGGCGGACUGAGGGCGGUUUGCUUGCUAGUAUUACUGCCCUAUAGUCCGUAGUUUUGCCAGAGGUUUCGAGGUGCUCUUAAUCGAGUGUCCCGGGAUGCUGGCAGGUUUACUUUGAAAAAUUAGAGUGCUCAAAGCAGGCUAUUACGCCUGAAUAUUCGUGCAUGGAAUAAUAGAAUAGGAAGUCGUUUCUAUUUUGUUGGUUUUCGGAAAUCGACUUAAUGAUUAAUAGGGACAGUCGGGGGCAUUUGUAUUCAAACGACAGAGGUGAAAUUCUUGGACCGUUUGAAGACAAACUACUGCGAAAGCAUUUGCCAAGAAUGUUUUCAUUAAUCAAGAACGAAAGUUAAAGGUUCGAAGGCGAUUAGAUACCGCCCUAGUUUUAACCAUAAACGAUGCCAGCUAGCGAUCUGCGGACGUUUUUUUUUGUAGACUCCGCAGGAAGCUUCCGGGAAACCAAAGCAUUUGGGUUCCAGGGGAAGUAUGGUUGCAAAGCUGAAACUUAAAGGAAUUGACGGAAGGGCACCACCAGGAGUGGAGCCUGUGGCUUAAUUUGACCCAACACGGGAAAUCUCACCAGGCCCGGACACUGGAAGGAUUGACAGAUUGAUAGCUCUUUCUUGAUUCGGUGGGUGGUGGUGCAUGGCCGUUCUUAGUUGGUGGAGUGAUUUGUCUGGUUAAUUCCGAUAACGAACGAGACUCUGUCCUGCUAAAUAGUGUCUGCUUCUCUUUUGAGCAGACAAUUCUUCUCUUAUGAGAGAGCUCUUCAGUACAAGGGCAAAAACAGGAUUCAGCUGAGGUCUGGUGAUCCUCUCCCACCAUUUAUUGACCGAGACUCCCCC
rnacentral:rRNA from 1 species